rnacentral:lncRNA from 1 species
AAAAAAGACGAAGAAGAAGACGAAGAAGAAGCAGAAGCAGCAGCUUAAUCUAAAUUGGACUUGAAACAACUAAACAAAAUUUGGUCUAAAAAAAUAUUCAUUUGGAGCUUAGUUGGAACAAUGAAUUUAUUCAUGCUCUUCGUAUUUUGUUUUAAUGAAAAACAUCCUAUUUACCAAUGUCAAUGGACAAUAUGUCAAAUUGGAAUCAACGGGUUUCUUUUUCCUUUAGAACAGUGACAGCGUCAUAGGCUUUUGCCGAAGAUGAGCAUAAACUAUAAACAGUAAAUCUGUCAAAAGUUCACUUAAAAUAAAUUGGCCUCAAUCCGUGUUUACGGUGAGCGUAUUCGCGUUCUGAACAGCCAGGCUUUGGUUAGUUAUAAUUCAUAUGGACAAGAAAAAAUAAAAUCGUUUAAAGUCCAGAUCGAAGUCUGGCAGAGUUAAGCAUUUUCUCCAAAGCCGAUUAAUUCUUUACCUCGCAAGGCAGUCAAAAUUGUUAUCAUUUCAACAACAACAACAACAACCUUUAUUUAUGUGUCAAAUCUAAAAUAGCAGUUAUACAACCACUAACUGGGGACACUAAAUACUACCUAAAAAUUUAAGAAAUUUAAAAAUAAAACAAUAUACAUUUCUCCUUAAGAGCAUAACAUUUUCGUGCACUAAACGCUUUUCUUACUUUAUUGAAGCCGUUGAGCUAUCUCUAACUGUUCUUUUCACGGAGUAAUUGUUAUCCAGUCAAUAAAUAUCAGACAGAACCGGCUCUACACUUCAACCUUGUCUGCAAAGGUGGUUCAUCAAGCUAAAACGAACAACUUAGUCUAUCAUGAGCGAUUGAAAUUAUGCCUUCAACUUCUCCCUGUCACUCCAAAUGCAUAUUUUCAUGCAAAAAGGGGGGUACAAGGUAUCGUUUCAGUACUUAUCUGCCUUUGCUCUUUAAAGCUAGUACCCUAAUUUGGCGACAUAAUGCAUUUGUAGUCCAUUAACAGGAUUAUCCGAAGCUGUCACACUGACACGUCUUUGACGUCACAAACACCUUUCAAUUGAAAAUGCUCAGUAACCUUUCCUGACAGCAGUAAAGAGAUCGCUUGAGCCAAAUCGUCGACACGCGACAGGAGAACGCGCACGGGAAGAUAGCCAAGUUCACUCCUACUGAAAUUUUCACGAUUCGAAGAUAUAUAAAGCAGAAGUGCACGGCUGCACCAUCAUUUGUUAGUUUUCAUGCUCACUCCAAACUUUUCCGAUGUAUUAUUGUUAGUUGCGCUCUUCGCCAACUUAUUGACGAUAGAAGGCCUAAUAAAGUGUCAGUUUUGUGACUCUAAGGAUGGGCCCUGUGACACAGACACAUUUGAAGGAACAAAGCCACGAACAUGUACCAGAUGGUACCAGCACUGCUCCGUUUAUCGAAGGGUCUUGUCGAAUGGAACAACGGCACAUGUUGUAAGAGGCUGUGACAGAGAUUGCAACGAACCCUCUAUGAAGUGGACAUUGGGCAGAUACCAAAAAACAACCCUCUGCAAAUACUGUUGCAGUAGCGACAUGUGUAAUGCAGUGAUAGGCGACCCGUGUAACAAAUCGUUUCUGUUGGUGGCUAAUGGCAUAAUAUGGCUUCCGGCAGUGGUUAUCCUAGAAAUUUUGAUAUAUUCUCCCCCAUGAGUGAACAAUACGUAUAUUCUCCUUCAAUACCGAUACAUCGACAAUUUCUUAGGAAACAGGUGCUGAAAAUAAAGAGGAAUAACAACUGAGGAUAAGCUUUAGAUCCUUAGGACGGGGGGCGGAUCUUGGGGGAGGGCGCAGGGGAUGCGCACCCCCCACCCCUGAGAUGACCUGUGGCUUUCUAAUACAAGUGGUAUUCUGCUAUUACAAUUUGUUUACGUCCGGACAAUUUGUUUACGUCCGGUCACCAACCAGUUACGCCAUUCUUUAGAGGUGCACCCCCACCUCAAAAAUUCCUGGAUCCGCCCAUGCAGGAGCAACUGUACUGCACACCGUAAGGACAACAGACUGCACGCCCUAAUAGUGAAAGGGCUAAUUGAUGACAUAUAAACUCGAGAUCCACUCUAGCAAAUUAACAAUAAGCCACGAAAGUUUCCUUAUGAUUUUCUCGGAAGUACUUGCCGAGAUUUUUCAGGCCCUGUACUUUGGUAUUGUAUCUUCAUGUACUGAGCUGGUACAUCACCACCUGAUAUCAAUGGCUCAUGCCUGACCCUUUUCUUUUUAAAUAUGUCACGAUUUAUAAAUCACUCUUGUUCCUUAACUCAUACUCUCUUGUUAGGUGGCGUUUCUAUCUUUUCGUAUCAAGAAAUUAUACUUUGUUUGUUAUUAUCACUAUUAUCUUUUGUUUUUUAAGCCUAAGGUGAACUUUGAGUGCUGCAAAAAAAAUAUAUAUUGCAUACCGAGA